UCUUGCCUUGGUUCCUCUCGGUGCUGCCUUUGACGUUGAUUUGGUUCCGGGUUGAUUUGAUUCAAGUGUAGAGCACCAAGCUUCUCGUCAAUCAUUGUUGCCAUUGCAGCUGUGACGGAUUUCAAGAUUUUUCUCUCCAAGCUAGAGGUGGAUGACUCUUCGUCUUCAGAUGUCACCAUUGUACCUGAAAAAUCGAAAAUCUAACAAGUAAACAGUCCAAAAACAGACAAAUCUAAACGGAUCUGGAAAAAUAUCAAAC
rnacentral:lncRNA from 1 species